UACAUGUGGGGCAAGCGUUGUUCGGAAUUACUGGGCAUAAAGGGUGCGUAGGCGGUUUGUUAAGUCACUGGUGAAAGUUUUCGGCCCAACCGGAAAAUUGCCUGUGAUACUGGCGAACUUGAGUGCGUGAGGGGUUGGGGGAACGAGCAGUGUAGCGGUGAAAUGCAUAGAUAUGUCACAGAACACCAAUUGCGAAGGCAGCUUACUAUGGUUUUAUUGACACUGAGGCACGAAAGCGUGGGGAUCAAACAGG
rnacentral:rRNA from 1 species